CGGGGCGUAGCGCAGUUUGGCUAGCGCGUCAGACUGGGGGUCUGAAAGUCGCAGGUUCGAGUCCUGUCGCCCCGA
rnacentral:tRNA from 2 species